CCUUGCGCAAAACAGCAGCGCCCAGAUGACUCUGCCCCCCGCCCCAUGGGCGCUCGCGCCCUAUUGUUUUGCGCCUGCGCGGUGGGAGGAGGCCGCCCGCGCCGCGUCACAGCCGUGAUGCGCCAGUUCUGCAGCCGGGAGAGCAGCGGGCCCUUCAGUCCCGGUUACAGCCGUUAUACGAUGACUUGGUUAAUCAGGCAAUACGUUUGGACGGGCCGCACAGUGCGAGGUAUUGUCGCGGGAUCAACACGGCCGUCCAGUUAUAAAAAAAGAAAACCGGCGACAAAGUUAGUGCUUAAAAAAGUGCAGCCUUAUGGCUGGUUUCCUGCUUCCAUUUGAACCUGUGGCAGGGCCCUCCGGGGCUAACUGCCAAGGGGACCCGCAGGCAACACCCUGCCUCCUCAGCUGUAGGAAUGGCUCAGGGUCCUGUGCUGCCGCCCCACUGGGGCCGUGCUCUCGGGGCCUUUGCUCUUUUAAAGGCUGGUAUUUCCUUGGCAUCUCUUGUCAUCUGUUCAGGCUGCUGCUAUCACCCUGAUGAUAUGUCAUAAUCCCACCUGAGUUUAGCGUGCUUUAAUUCACUUUAAAAGUACUCCAGAAUUUACAAAACACUUUUUGCACAUGAGCCUAGAAACUUCACUUCAAUCUACCGGAUACAAAAAAUUAUGAACCAAGUAUAGACAUUGGACUUAUGGUGCAUUAUAAUCCGCCUGCCGUCCGAUAACCCUAGGUAACCUCUACGACAUUUUACCAACAAUAUUCCCCUCCUUUCCCCCCACCUAUUUAUUGUCUCCCAUUCCCUCAGAUCCUCACUGUCAUGUAUUUGCAUUUCCACAGACCUACAUUUUCCAUAUUGGCUUCUAUUCCACCAUGGAGACAUGGGCAGACAAGGUUCCUUGGGUUCCUCUGCCUAUAUCCUUAGACCAACACGGCUACAACCUAAACCCCUGCACCAUGGAGACAUGACAUUUCUUUUCUACCUAAAACUUUUACAAUCUUUGAAUUCUCCUCAGCCUGAAGAAGGGCGCAGGUAUCCGAAAGCUUGCAAAGAAAUGGCAAAGAAAGCCCCUUGCAGCUCCCCUGCUGUCUGCCUCCAGCACACCAAAUUGAGGCAUGGGUAAAAGUUGGGGAAUUUUUGACGCUGGCCAAAAACAUUGCCAACCCCUGCUCUAUAGAAUUUCUAGCUGAGGAAGUGAAUCAAAUAAGAGCUGAACAGUUAUGUGCAAAGAAAUGAGAAUCUGCAGAUUUGCUGCUCUAGUUUUCUCAGUGUUGGUGCACUCUGUUGGGCAAUCUCUCAACACAGUAAACUACAGGCAGUCCUUGGACUUAAGAUGCGGUUUUCAGGAACCAAUUGUGUCCUAAGUCAAAACGCAGUCCUUGGACUUAGGACGCAGUUGGUUCCUGAAAACCACGUCUUAAGUCAAAACAUUGCAACUCAGAACCAAUUUUCUCAUAAGAAACAAUGUUAUAAAUGUGGGAUUGGUUCCUGAACCAAGGCCCGAUACCCUAUUUUCACCAAAAAUACCCCAGAAUCUUGUACUCGAUCAAUUAUAUGAGUAAUAUAGCUACAUUAAUGUAUUUAUACUGUAAAUAGCAAUCAUUGAUUUGCAAGGACUUCUUUGAAGCGACUUUGCUGGACUUUUUGAAGGGCUCUUGGUUGGACUUUUUGAAGGGUUCUUGGCUGAAGUCUUCUCAGAAGUCUUGGCUGCAGGUUUUUUUGGAGUCUUGUCUGUUUUCUUAAAGUGUCCAAGGAAGUUUGGACAGAUGUUUUCCAGGGAGAUGAGCAACGCAGCAAACUUGUUCGCUGGCGUAGUGUCGCAUCGGAUCAAGCAUUAUAAAGUCAAAACUGACAUCAUAAAGUUGAAACAGGGUGUCAAGUUAUAAAUGUUGUAAGUGCGAAACGUAACUCGAAAAGUUCUAAGUCGAGGACUGCCUGUACACAGUUUGGCAAGUCUGUAUUAGAACACAGAACUCUAGACCAGAAAAGAUGCAAAGAAGAUUUUUCAAUAUUUUUUUGCAAUAUUUUUCUUGAAGUCUCAGAAGGAAAUGGCAUUCUUCCUUUGCUAGAAUAAAAUGCUGAUUAUUGCAACUGUACUAUUAAGCUGUCUGUGUGUUAUACACCAAAAGUGGGCACACUCUCAAAACAGGAUAAAAAGAUAUGUGAUUAUAAGUUUGCAAAGUACUCAGGGACCAGUCAGGAUGAAAAAUUUUAUAUAAAAUGUAAAGUAGCAUGUAGAGCUGUGCCAAGAAAGGAAAGUCUGCUAAAUGUGAAUUAUGAAUGUUGUGUUUCCCUAUCUGCAUCACUUCAAUAACUUUGCAUGAUGGACUUUCUCCAGCUAGAUCAUUUGUAAUAACAAGAUUAAAACACACAAGGAAGUCAGUUACCUGCACUAUAGAUUGAAUAGAUUCUCCUCUUUGAAUUACAUCAAGCACAAAAGGCAAAAAAAAUUAAACAGACCCAUCAGUACUUUUGACUUUGGAUAUUACAUUUCAGUUGGUGAUUUGCCAUAAUAAUGAAUCACCCUCAAAAGAAUCUGUCCAAGAAAUUAAGUAAAUAGGCAUCUGAGAAUGUGAUCAAGAAACAUCUGUCACUGAACUAAACAUCUCAAAGGAAAUUGCCCCGUUCAGCAGUUUCUGCCACACCUAUUUCUAUGUUUGGACUGAUGGAAGAAAUGACAGACUGCAAAUGCUGAAUGUACAAGAAACAAGAUUAUAACCAUCAUAUGAAAAUAAAGGUGUUUCAAAUGUACAUGUUUCUUUCUCAAGCAUGGAUACAGGCUUCUUGGUAAGUUCGGCAGUGGUCAUCGUCUUGCUGUCAUACAAGCUUGCUUUACACAUUUCCCUUCAGCAAGCCGUUACAUUUCAGACUGACAGAAGAGAUAAAGGUUUGCUACUACUACCAAGUAAAGUAUACACCUGGUAUUUGAAAUUAACUACUUAAAAAAGAAGCUUAGACAACGCUCUCCCCCUACAAAAAUGAUUCCGUCAGAGCUAGCAACUUAAAAGCAAACACUGAACUAGUAUUUCAGGAAAGGAAGAUGUGGGAACACUUUUUGAAUACUGCCCAGCAUUCAUUUAAAUCCUGAAUUUAGCUAGGUUCCCAAAACAGAUAGAAGACAUCUUUCUGACUCUGAAGUGGUGAGUUACUUCCUCUAAGAGCAAUGUUAAUUAUUCAACCUCUGGCUUUGACUGUGAUAGUCAACUGCAAAAGUGGUUUGCGAUACCUUCAGUGAAUAUGUAGGAACUACAUUAUAAUUACCAAAUGAUUCACAAAGAUCAUAUAGUCUAUUUAUUGUUAGCUGGAAGUUUAGCCUUAUUUAAACAUAAUUUAAAAUGCAAUGAGCUCAGUAUCUUAUUAGGAGUAGUAACCUCUCACAGUCUCCAUUUUCUGUUGCAGUCUCUUAGAAAAAAAUCACUCCCAGUGUGAAAAUAAAAACAAGAAGAAGAAAUAGCACACAUCUCUGUUUUGAGAAAAGGAUGCUUUUUAUUACUGUAAUUCAGCAGUGGCAGAAACACCUUCUUAGUCAUAAAAUAACCCUGACAAAAACAGUACUGAGUUAUUUACUGUUUCUAGCCAACACUACACUUGAAUUUAUGAGGUAAUAUCUAUGUCAAAUAUGAUUACUAUAACCAAAAAUAUGGCACAGUAAUCAAUGCUAUUUUGAAUGCACACAAUUCAACCUAAAACUUUCUAACCUGAGUGAUUGUACUUCCGUUUUUCUACUAUAACAAAUACAUUAGCGUGCAUAUAUUUCUUGAAAGUUGUUCAUAGUAUUUGCUUACAAAAAGAAUGUUUUUUUUUAGAAAGGCUGAAGAGAAGAAAA